rnacentral:rRNA from 1 species
GACGAACCGUGCGAACGUUAUUCGGAAUCAUUGGGCUUAAAGGGCGCGUAGGCGGCGGCGUAAGUUGGAAGUGAAAUCCCAUCGGCUCAACCGUGGAAUCGCUCCCAGUACUGCGUCGCUCGAGGGGGAUAGGGGGUCUGCGGAACUACCGGUGGAGCGGUGAAAUGUGUUGAUAUCGGUGGGAACGCCAGUGGCGAAAGCGGCAGACUGGACCCUUCCUGACGCUGAGUGCGCGAAAGCUAGGGGAGCAAACGGG